rnacentral:rRNA from 1 species
AUUGAACGCUGGCGGCAGGCUUAACACAUGCAAGUCGAGCGGGGGAGAUUGCUUCGGCAAUUGACCUAGCGGCGGACGGGUGAGUAAUACUUAGGAAUCUGCCUAUUAAUGGGGGACAACAUCUCGAAAGGGAUGCUAAUACCGCAUACGCCCUACGGGGGAAAGCAGGGGAUCACUUGUGACCUUGCGUUAAUAGAUGAGCCUAAGUCGGAUUAGCUAGUUGGUGGGGUAAAGGCCUACCAAGGCGACGAUCUGUAGCGGGUCUGAGAGGAUGAUCCGCCACACUGGGACUGAGACACGGCCCAGACUCCUACGGGAGGCAGCAGUGGGGAAUAUUGGACAAUGGGGGGAACCCUGAUCCAGCCAUGCCGCGUGUGUGAAGAAGGCCUUAUGGUUGUAAAGCACUUUAAGCGAGGAGGAGGCUCUCUUGGUUAAUACCCAAGAUGAGUGGACGUUACUCGCAGAAUAAGCACCGGCUAACUCUGUGCCAGCAGCCGCGGUAAUACAGAGGGUGCGAGCGUUAAUCGGAUUUACUGGGCGUAAAGCGUGCGUAGGCGGCU